CAAAAGCUUUUGUGCGACAAUGGAUCAAGAACUGCAGAGAGAAAUAAGGAAAAGAAGACGGGUGAUACUCGAUGAGGAAAGACAACAGAGGCAAUUACAAGCAAUGCAAGUUAAUCAAGAACCCAAUAACACAGAAUUGCAGAGAGAAAGAAGGAAAAGAAGACGAAUGAUACUUGAUGAGGAAAGACUACAGAGGCAAUUACAAGCAAUGCAAGUUAACCAAGGAUGAUACUCGAUGAGGAAAUACAACAAAGGCAAUUAGAAGCAAUGCAAGAACCCAAUAACACAGAAUUGCAGAGAGAAAGAAGGAAAAGAAGACGACACGAUGAGGAAAUACAAAUGCAAUUAGAAGCAAUGGAAGUGAAUCAAGAACCCACUAACGCAGACUUGCAGAGAGAAAGAAGGAAAAGAAGACGGAUGAUACUUAAUGAAAAAAGACAACAAAGACAAUUACAACCAGUACAAGAAAAAACACAUAAUCAAGGAUAUUUGAGUUUAGGCCCACCUGAAGAGGAAUGUCCAUACUGUAGUGCAAUAAUGUGGUGGGAAGAGAGAAUCAAGGAAAAGAGCACGAAAAACAGGACCGUUUUCAACAUGUGCUGUCAACACGGUAAAGUAAAACUGCCAAAAUUCAAAGAACCGCCAGAGUUAUUAGCAAAAUUGUUGAAUUAAUCGGGAGACAUGGGAGACAGAAGUGCUGCAAACUUUAGACAGCUAAUCCGUAUGUACAACUCAUGUUUUGCACUUACUUCAAUGGGCGCCAAAAUUGAUGCUUCAGUAAACACAAAUUCUGGGCCAUAUGUUUACAGAGUUAGUGGGCAAAAUCAUCAUCUCAUAGGGUCUCUUCUCCCAGUUGACGAAAAAAGGCCAGCAUUUGCACAACUAUAUAUAUAUGACACUGCAUCAGAGAUAAGCAAUAGAACAGAAGCUGUCUGCAAGCAUGACAAAAGCUCGGAAUUAAAUUCUGAGUUACUCUCCAAAUUGAAGACCAUGCUUGACAAAGUGAACCCCCUGGUACAAACCUUCAGAACAGCAUAACAGAGAAUAAAUCAAAAUGCAAAAGCAAAAUGGUCAAUCAGGCUACUUGGUACAAGGGACAAUAAAAACAAGGCAUACAACAUCCCCACAUCAUCUGAGAUAACCGCUCUUAUAGUAGGAGAUAUUGGCCACAACACUUAUGGAAGGGAUAUAAUUAUUGAGCACAAAUCAGAAGGAUUAAAAAGAAUCAGUGAAUUACACCCAAGCUUCAUGGUUCUACAGUACCCUAUGUUGUUCCCAUAUGGUGAGGAUAGCUACCAUCUUGGAAUACCAUAUGUCAACAAUAAAGGACCGGAAAUAGGAAAAGGGAAUGUGUGACAAUGAGAGAAUAUUAGGCAUACAGGUUGCAAACCAGAAAAACAGAAGGACAGACUCUCCUACGGGCAGCUCGACUACUCCAGCAAUUUAUAGUUGACUGCUAUUGCGCAAUUGAAGAAGAAAGGUUGUCAUUUAUUUGAAACCAUCAACAACAACUUAGGUGCGACCUUUACAACAACCUACGAGAUGCAAUGGUACAAGGAGACACAACAGGGGCAGCAGUUGGAAAAAGAAUUGUCUUACCAGAAACAUUCACAGGAGGACCAAGGUACAUGUACCAAAACUACCAAGACGCCAUGGCAAUUUGUAGAUGGUAUGGGAGCCCACAUCUAUUCAUAACAUUCACUGCAAAUCCAAAGUGGCCUGAGGUUCAGUCAAUGUUAAGUGAAAUUGAAGAUCAAAAGCCUGAAGAUCGGCCAGAUAUCAUGGCAAGGGUAUUCAAACUGAAGCUAUAACUGAAGGAAAAAUGCCCUUGGUCCAAGUAUGCAUUCUAUGUUAAGUCUAAUAAGUGCGGUUCAGUAUUAAUUAACAAGUUAAUAAUUCAGUGAGAUCAAGUGAGCUGAAUGCCUAGCUAGAGGCCGCUUCAGUUCAAGUGGAAUUAAUGAUAUUAAUCCACAACUUACUCUUGACUGAACCCGUAGGGUCACACAAAAAGUACGUAAACGAAUCAAGUGUUUAAUGGCAUUAAAUACUCUAUCUAUGGAUAUUCGGAAUCGACGGAUCUUGGUUUCAGUGGGAGCUGAGAUCGUCACAAGCAAGAAAUGAAUACUCCGGAAAUGAUGAUAUUGCCGGAAACGGAAAUAUGGAUCGUAUCGGAAAUAUAAAUAUUAUCCAAGUCGUAGAUGUUGCCGGAAAUGGAAACAUGGUACGUAUCGGAAAAUAUUAUGGGAAAUGGAAAUAUUGCCGGAAUCGGAAAUAUUGCCGGAAACGGAAAUAUUGUCAGAAUCGGAAAUAUUAUCGGAAUCGGAAAAUAAUUCCGGAAACGGAAAUAAUAAAUAUUUGUUCGAAACGGAAAUUAAUUCCGGAAUCGGAAAUAUUAAAUAUUGUUCGUAUCGGAAAUGAAUGCCGGAACCGGGAAUUUAAUCGGAAGCGUAUCGUACGAAUAAGCAUCGGACGAGGCCUGCCGGACGAGGGCCCAGCACGAAGCCAGGUCAUCGCCCAGCAAGCCAAGCGCGCCACACGAACAGCCAAGGCCACGCCAGGCCCAGCGCAAGGCCAGGCCCAGCAGGCCAUGGCAGCGCGCGCAGCAAUAGGCUGCGAGCUGUGCUGCUGCUCGCGUGGGCUUGCGGCUCGCGUGGGCCCAGCGGCCGUGUGGGCUGUGCGCGGGCAUGGCCUGCACGCUCGUGGGUCAUGCUCGUGUAGAGUUUGUGUUCACAUACGAAACCUAAAUUGUAUAGGAUUUGUUUGAUGAUUAAAUUCCUAAUCCUAAAAGGAUAAAAUUAAUUAGUUAGAGUCCUACUAGGAUUCUAGUUUAACUAAUUAGUAUCCUAAUAGGAUUCCAGUUCCUUUUUCAUACCUCUAUAAAUAAGGGCCUAGGGUCAUUAUUUGCAGGUACGAUUGAAGUAUUCAAAGGGUAAGUUUUUGAAAGAAAACUCAGCCAUACACUUGCAAACACAUAGCCGAAAUUCCUAGUAACCUUAAGGGCGAUUCUAGUUGGUCUAACUUGAGGCGGAUCCGGACGUACUGUGGACUAUCUACGGAGGGACGACAUUUGGAGUCCUAAAGACUUGUUCUUGUUCGGUUCGGGCGCAGCUAGGGAAGGCACGCUACAACAUGUAUGCAUCUAUUCUAUGCUAAAUGAUUAUGUGAAAAUAAUAUGCGUACGCAGUUUGCAAGAAUUGAAAGGGGUGAUUAAUUUUCGUAAUUGUUAAUUAAUUGCAAAUUUUGUUUAUUUAAUUAUACGUACGCAGUUUUUCGGCAGUUUCUUCGUUACUCAUCCAAAUCGAGUGAUUUUUGUGUCAAUUCCGCAUGUAAAAGGCAUUCUAAAAUUUUGACAAAAUUAAUAUUUUUCGGCCGAACCCUGAAUUCUCAAAUUCGAAGCCUAACUAUGACUUUUCGGAGGUUUUAGUUUUUCGAAUGCAAAAUUUCGUAAAUUUAAGAUGUUAAAUUAAUUUGAUAUUCAUAAUUUAGAAUUAAUUUGAUAUUCAUAAUUAGUUAUAAUUUAAUUAGAUACCUAUGAUUAAAAACCACCAUAAAAAAUUGUAAAUUUAUGUUAAAUUUUAAAUUUUUAUGACCUAGACUUGAAUCCAUGUUAAUCGGAAAUCAAUAAAUUAAUAAAUUUUCGAUUUUUCGCCCUAAAAUUAUGAAAUUAAUAUGAUUUAUUAAUUUGUCAUUAAUUUUGAAAAUAAAUUUUUUAAUUUUUAUGCGAUUCGCUCAUAUAACUUGCACGCACAAAGCAAUGGACGCUACGUGUUACCCUUAAGGGGUGUUGUAUAGUGCGGGCAUGCGACGACGAGCAAGGGAGCUCGUCGCCCAUGCGGUACGAAUGCAGCGAGCAAGGGCAUGGUGCACGAGCACAAGGCAGCAGCCCUGCCUUGUGUCGUGGGCUGUGUGCAAUGGGCGCAUGGGCAAGGGCGAGAGCAAGGCACGAGCAGUCGCGUGUGGGCAGCAAGCGUGCUGCGCCACAGCGCGCACUGCCUCGCGCAAGCAUGCGGAGCCACGCGCGCAACGAGCGCAAGUGUGCGUGCGACGAGCGCUGCGCCCAGCGAUGGCGUGCAGCGUGCUUGGUGCGACGUGCGACGAGCGCUGCGCCCAGCGAUGGCAUGCAGUGUGCUUGUUGCGACGUGCGACGAGCGCUACGCCCAGCGAUGGUCAGCAGCAUGCUUGUUGCGACGAGCGCUGGCGCGCGCCUUGCGAUGGGGAGCAGCAGCGAUGUGACGCAGCGCAUGGGCUGCGCGCACAUGGCCAGCGAUGGCUGUGUGCGUGUGGCCCAUGGGCGUGCGUUGCGUGGGGUGUUUGCGUUGCGAUUAGAUCGUUUUGAAAUUUUAAAAUUAAUAAUUUAAAUUAUUUUCUUGGAUUUUAAUUUUGAAUAUUGUAAUUAUAAUAAAUUUUAUUUAUUCUAAUUAUUUUACUAAAAUUAAAAUCAUGAAUUAAUUUAAAUACGACUGAAAUUAAAUUAAAAUUAUGGAUUCAAUUAUAAAUUUAUAUGAGCUUUAAAUUUUAAUUAAAUUUGUAUGUUUCCGGUUAGACUAGAAAUACAUUUUUAUGUUUAAAAUUAGUAAAGCAUAUGAAUUUAUUGGUUUAAGUGGGAGCCCUUUUAGUCAUAUUCUCUUGAUUAGGUCUACAAAUCCUUAAGGUUAAAACAACUUGAUUAGAAUUAAUAAGGACUGAAUAAUUUGUAGAUUAUUGGUGCCCUUGAUUAAUUGCUGCAAAUGUUUAUGUGAUGCAUAAUGCUUUUUACUAACCAGCUAUGUGGGCCAUUCAUGAUAAUGAAUGGGUGAAUGGUAUAUAUUGUAUACGUACUGUUUUGCAGGUUAUGAAGUGACUAGUAUGGCUCAAAUAGGAUAGAAAAUAUGGUCUGCGUACCAUUGAUUUGAAUGUAAUUGGUCUAAAGUACCAAAGUUGUUUUUCAAUUCAAAUAUGGUCUGCGUACCAUCAAAUAGUUGUAAUUAGUUUUAAUUAUAGCUUAUUCUAUUUGAAGAAAAUGGUGCCUCCCACGGAGAUUUUCAAGACGGACUUUGAAGUUAAAGCUUCAAGAUGAAGUCGGGUCAUACUAGAUCACAUUUAUCUUAUGCAUGUUUUAAGUUAUUUAUUGCUUUUAAAUAUGUCUUAAAACGCAUGAGAUCAAAGCUUGAUUAUGUUGCAUGAUUAAGGAUUUUAGUUCACUUAAAAUCUAACCAACAUAGUAAGAGCCUUAAGUUCCAAACUUAAAAAUUGAGUUAAAAGGUGCCAUGCCAAAAUAUACACUUGCUUGGAUAUCCUUUACAUCAAUCUAGUAAUAGUUUUCGCUCAGCGAGGUGUUACUUAUUGGUCCUAAAGGGUCAAGGUACACAAAUAAUUGUAAGUACAUGUUAGUUUUGGUGAAACUCAACGAUAUAAGUAAGGAGUCCUUUUAUGUCGUGGCAAAAUCGAUAGGUUUACCUAAUAAGUUCUUAGACGUACCUAUCAACCAAGAAUAGUUUCUAGACUAUUGGCAAAAGGCUUUUGCUUACCUAAGAUGUUCUAGGAUUAAGUCGACAAACCUUGCUUAGUUCUUCAAUGAUUUUAGGAUCUUGGAAUCAUUUUAUUCACACCUGCCGGAACAAUAAAAUCGAAUAAAAUGCUAAUAACUUGUUUAAAUUGCAUGAUUGCUUUAAUUUUCAAGUUAUUAAUCAUGACAAAUGUUUAUACUUUGCAUGCUUCAAUGUAUGUUUUAAUUAUUGUUUAUAAUUAAAUAUCUUGCACUGCAGUAAAUCCUUUUAGAAAGGUAACAGUAAAUUUCCUCGAUUGGUAAUGAAUCCAAGAACGAUUCACGGAAAUGAGAGAAAAUGAGCAAUUUAAAUGUACGUUUCUUUUAGCGACUUUUAUGGUUGUUUUCGAGUAUCAAAAUCGAAUGGCAAACCAAUCGGUGCUUGUGAAUUCAAAAUACAAUGUAGUUUUGAGAUCAUAAAGCAUUGAGUUUAAACGCUCAGCUUUACCAAUGGUUAACAAUCUAAUAUCUUUGUCCAUUUAAUUCUCGAAUGAGUCUAGUCCCUAGACAUUCGAAUAGAUCGAUGCUUAGAGAACUUUAGAAGCUCCUGGUAAGAUCAUCUAGUUGAAAACAGAAUAUUCAACAUAAAUUAAAAUGGUAAUAACUUUCUUGUAGUGACAUUGGACAUGUCUAAACAAAGUAUAAAAGUCAACACUAAAAAAUUCAAUUCUUAAGGCUAUAAGAAAGGGUACAAGAAAUAGGAAAACAAGGAACAAGUGAGAGGAACUUACAAUUCCGUUUCUACCUAAAAGUUAAUGUUUAAAGAGAAGUGACCUGGCAAUCAAACUUCCUUGGUAUUAUAUACCGCUUGAGGUUCUUACUUCGGUAAUAACUCAAACAAUGGAAGCUAGGCUACACUAAUGGCCUACAAGUGGGAAAAGAAGCAUAGCAAUGCUACAUUAAUUGUAGGGUCAUCUAGUUUGUUUUAAGUCCUUUCAAAGGCUGGAACUUAAUGGCUAUUUUGUUCCAUAAUCAGCAUACCUAUAUUUCUGCUUCAAACACAGAAAGACUCAUAUUCAACAAAAACAAAAACAAUGUUUGUCUGUUUAUUUGAAUGAAAUGGUCAUUUACAGGUUGAGUCAGUAUGCUUGAUUAAAACAAACAACUCUUUAAAUAAAAACUUUACUAGGUUCAAAUCAACCCCUUGAUUUGAAUUCCACUAAUCUUUGGCAUUGUUGCUUAGACCAUAUCAACAAGUUAACAUUCAAAAGCUCUAUUUUAUGGACUUUUGAAAGUUGAUUGAUUUCUAGAUCAUUCAAGACAAGCUAGUCUUACUUGUUGAAAGUAACAAAAGAUAUGAACUAUUGUUAGAACAUCUAGACAAUAGAGUUCAAAAGCUAAAAGACGGUUUUAUGACUUUAUUAUUUCACACAGAUUUGAGUGAAUAUAGGUUUAUUUACUCAAUGUGAUAUAAGUUUGAAUCUGUUUGGCUAGUUCAAAGAUUCAGAAGUAUAAAUCCCACUUGGCAAGAAAUCAUAAAGAUCUAGGUUAGAUCAUGUUGAGGAUUGCUUAAGUCAAGAAUGAUCAUCAAUGAUUGUGUGUUGUAAUUUUACGAUCUAGCUCCAUAAGAUAUGGCAUAUCUACGUUGGAAUGAUCGAAGUCAAUUGGUACUUAAUUCGAUCAAUGAUGAUUCAUAAAGAUUUUUCCUAUAAUUUCUAAACAAAAUGCUCAACUACCACCAAACUAAACCAAUUUCGUCAAAGCCAUUGAAAAGUAAUUUCAGAAUAUCUUUUCAUAAUAUAUCUAAAGAGUUCCUAAACUCAGUGGGAGCUCAGUGUUUGUUAUUCAACAAACUAAGGCCCAAGUAUAAAUAUAUGUUUCAUUGUGAUUUAUUCAAAUGAGACACAAGGGUAUUGUUUCUACCACGAAUUUUUAAGAACAUAAUGUUUGUUUGCUCGAAAUAAUGUCCUUUUGGAGAUUCGUUUCCAAAAUAACAAGUGGGAGAAAAUAGACCUCGAAAGUCUUCGAGGCGAACAACAAACAUAAACGGACAUUCCGGAGGCUUUUCGAAGUUCUUUAGAAAAUCCGAACAUGUAUUCUUUAAGGACUUUAGAAGUGGCUUUAAAGAAUAGACAUCUCUUAGAAGACUUUACAAGUGCUUCAAGGAGAACAGAAUAUUCAAAGGACUUUCAAGUGUCUGUUGAUAUUCUAUUGUUUGAUGUUCUAUACCCAAGUAGGCAUGGAGUUCAAGUCACUGAAACUAUGAGAUUCUUCUAUUAGAUAGUGAAGAAACAUAGAGAUCAGACCAAUGAAACCAUGAGAUUCUUCUAUUAGAUAGUGAAGAAACCUACAACUUGCAGUCAAACUAUUAUCAUGUAGAUUAAUGAGUUUAUAACCUGUAAGAAAGCUAUGACGAAACCCAAAUUCCCUAAAAUGGUUAGAGGCCAUAUAUAGACUCAAAUGUUUUAAAUGGUUAGAGGCCAUAAAACAUACUCAAUGUUUUGAUGACAAAAUUGAAAUUUUGUUGAUUUGCAAGAAUAGUUUCACACCUAUUGGUUGCAAAUUUGUUUUAAGGUUAAAAACCAUCAAACAUGGAAUUGUGUUCACACACAAAGCUAGAUUAGUUGCUAAAGGUUACAAGCAAAUUCAUGGCAUGGAUUGUGUUGAAACCUCAUGCAUAAUCAUAAUGCUCAAGUCUAUAAAUCAAGCAACCUAAACAGUUGAAAGUAAAAGUACUUAUUGCCUAAGAAGCAAUAAAACAGGGUUGUUUGUUUAUGUUAAAGAGUUCUUCACUAAACUUGGGUAGAUCAUAUGUCUUCUGACUUGAUGGUUCUUCAUUGCAAAAUGCGUAGAACUACUCUUGUAGCUAGAAGGAAUAGAUCACAAAAUAAACACACUCAAAAAGAUCUUAUCAUCAUAUCUCGAAGAACAUUCGAUGAAAAGAUAUUAAGAUUGGCAAAGCAUGAUAACUAAACCUAUGCAACAAGUGAGAAACAACACUCACAUUGUGGCACUGGAAAUCAAGCAUAGCUUUGAAUUCCAUGAACUGUUUUAAGGAUGGGUUCGAGGCCCAUGGCUGUAGAACAUUAGGGUUGAACAUUUAUCAUAUAUGAAAUGUAUUUUCAUAUUCCAUUUAAUCUUGGCUUAGUAUUAAAUGAUGAGUCCCUUCAAUUUGACGAUAUAUUCAAGAUAGACUGUCAGGACCAGUCCUGUGACUAAGAAAUGUCUAUCAAGUGAACUUGAAUGUCAAAAGUUGAAAAUGGUCCCUAGUCGGAGUUUUCUAUAAAAUUGGACGCAUAGAAAAC